CUCCGUGUAGGCCUCAGUGAAGCCUGAAUUCGAGUAGGCUGGCAAGCCCCAGGAAGAAGGCUUGCAGUCAGAGUGGCCACUACAGUUCUCUGCAGCAGACCCUCUUCCCAGGCCAGACAGCUCAGCCUUUGCCAGGAGCUCUUGGGACCCCCUCUCCUCCUCUCUUGUCCCGAGAUUUGCCCUGAGGAGAGAUGGAGCCUGGAGGAAGUAAAAAGGGCCACUCACUGGUGCCAGGCCUGGAGAGCAGCGACAGAAAGCACGUCAUGCCCAGCAGCGCCAGGUGCGCCAAGACCCGGCAGCCGCGCAGCAGCCAGCGAAGACCGCGGCGGGUCCGCCAGCUUGCAGCGACGUCACCGGGCAUACUGGAGACAGCUUCCUCCGGUCCCGCCGCCGCGGGCUGGUAUUACAGAAGACGGAAAGGCUGGGUGUGGCUUGCAGCCGGCCACAACACACACCUGUCGGGGAGGGAGGGGCUUGAGGCUCAGAGGGCAGGGCAAUUACCCGAGGGCGACUAUUCUGCUGUGGGGAGGAAAGAAGACAGUGGUGGGGGCGCGAGCGAUUUCGAUUCCAGUCCACCUCGGUGGCAGGCAGCGGGUUUUAUUUGUUGUUUUAAAAAAAUAUUUAUUUCUUGUUAAAUUUAAACCCCGCCUUUCAUUAAGAAAAUCCCAAGGCGGCUUUGAUUCCGCCCCCACGCAUAGCUUCACUGGAGCCCGCCAGCACUUUGAUCCGGAUUGAACCAGGUUUUGACCCAGCAGUGUGGAGCAAUGAUCAUAACAGAGUGGUGCUGAGCGUGUGCAGAGUGCCUACUGAGUAACCACGACACCCGUCUCCAGACACUCUGGAAACUGAGCUUUCGCGGAGGGGUGCGGGAUUUCUAAGCAGGCUUGAAUCUCGGCAUCUCUCGCUUUAGAAAUGUAAGCACUGUUGUUAGAUGCCUUCAGGGGAGAAAAGGGGUUCUCCCUCACAUAUUUUCAUACACAUAGCAACCCUAAACAUUUACUAGAAAUGUUUAAGCCCUAUUGAAUUCAGAGGAACUUGUAAACAUGUUUCCAAUCGCACAGUGCUGGAGUGUAAUCAUCACCAGUCAUAAAUGGGGCUAUCGUCAAUUGUAAGGGGGCAUGCAGAUUUCAGUGGCGGGGUUUCACUCACAACGAAUACACAAACAUGGGAUCCUCCAAUUUCUUGCCAGUCAACUUUCAUGUUCAUUACAGGCUCCUCGGCCAUUUCAACACUUGUGCUAACUGAUGGCACCACUUAAGCCCUAGUCAGACUUUGUUAUAGGAGUGUGCAUAUACAUGUGUUUCUGUGAAUGACUGUAUCUGCAUUCAUUUUUAAAGUCAACCUGUGUACAGGUCUCUCAACUGCCUGAUACAGAUAGGAAGUAUACUGCUGCACCUGUGUUCAACACUAUAUGUGAAUAACUGUAACUGUGUAUACCAGUGUACACUUGUAAACAGUUGUACAUGCUUGUCCUGUGUACAGUCUACAUAAGGGCAGCUUAAGAGUUGUACAUCCAAAUGAGUAUACUGGGUCUGUGCAGUUUGGCAGGCAAUGGAGGCUGCAAUCCUAGGCACAGUGAUCUGAGAGUACACCCUGUUUAAAUCAGUGGGACUUAUUUCUUCGUAAAUUUGUGCAGGCAUAAGUUAGGAAGGAACAUCUUACUGCCAUGCUGAACACCCACAUUCUGCAGCUUUAUAGGGAAAAUAAACGUAAAGUUGUGCCAUCUAGUCAGUGUUGAAAAUACUGACUAUUAUUUAUCAAGUAGUAACUUAACAUGACAUACACUACUUGGUAAGCUGCUCAUCUCGUCAAAUGGUGUCUUGGCACACAUCUGUACCUGAUCAUAAACCCAGAGAAGCAGCAGGAGAGUGGCAGAAGUGCCCUCAUCACUUGGCAAGCAAGACUGUACAGAUGACUAGCUUACCAAGUUACAUAACUGUGCAUGUUGGAAGCUGCCUAAUUGGUAAGUGGUCAUCUGUAUCAUGACCUGUAGCGGUAUCAUAAGUGUGUGGAUCCAAAUUCUGCUUGAUUCUACUCACAUUCUCCAACUCACAUACUCCUGCUAACUGAGCAAACGGACACUUUUUAAAGUGGUGAUUCUCUUAUAUUUAGAAGGGGGUGGGGGGAGCAACUGGCCCUAUCAAACCCCAGCACAGCAUCCUUCCCGUGGCUGUUGCUGGUGUCUGUCUUAUGUUUCUUUUCUUAGACUGUAAGCCCUUUAGGGAUAGGGGGCCAUCUUAUUUAUGUAUUAUUUAUUUUUCUAUGUAAACCACUGAGAGAACUUUGGUCGAAGAGCAGUAUAUACAUAAUUGUCACAGUAGUAGUAGAAACAUGCUAACUUGCUCAUGUGAAUGAAUCAGGUUGGUAAUCCCCUGGUGAAAUGCUGCAAAUACCACCACCCCUCCUCCUAUUGCAGCAAAUCUUGAAGCCUUCGGACAUCUAAGUUGUUUAUCCCCACCUGAAGUAGGCCUCCUAUUUUGACAUUACUGCCAUCCAUCUUCCCCACCAACCAUUUGCCUGUGUCCUGUUUCCCUCCCCUUCUCCUCAGGCACAGACCCCUCUCAUGCCAAACCUGUCCUAUAGCUUGCAGUGACCUUUUAGGUCAUGACAGCUUCAGGCAGCAAUCGUGCUUCUUCACUUGGUGCUUCUCUCUGCAAGAACUCUGUACUAGACAGCCCUGUAUUUGGACUCAGGUUCCGUACUCCAUUCAUUAGUCCUGGUCUCCCACUGUCUCCUCUUCUUCAGGUUGACUGCAGCUGAGGUAGUGUCAGAUGCUGAAGCAGGCAAACAUCUCCAACUGUUAGGUUCAGGGUGGAAGUUCCACCUCAAAAGACUCUUGCUCCUAACUGCAAGCCAUUUCCUUAGGGAGUCCCAUUAAUGGCUUUUCAUUCCUGGGGUGUGGAGGAUGAGGCUAGCUUCACACUCCCCUCAAAAGUUCUAUCCCUACCUACCAUACAAUCUACAUGUUUAAGAUGCAGAUUGAGAUACAUGGAUAAGGGUUUUGCAUGUACACGUAAUUAAUGACAAAUUAUAUAUUGGAGCCAUGGAGACACACCCUUAUAAAACACAUCUCUCAAGUAAUUUAUUUUCCCAUAAGAGCUCCUUGAUGUAUUCAGCCAUUGGAGGAUUAAAUUUUUGUGCAACCGCUUAGGUUCUCUUAAAUAAAAAUAAAGACAUUCAGACAA